GAUGAACGCUGGCGGCGUGCCUAAUACAUGCAAGUCGAACGAGCAUACGAGGAGCUUUCUGCGCUGACGUUGGCGCCGACCGGGGGAUUAAACGGUGGAUAACCUACCUAUACUACUGGAAUACCUUCGGAAAACCGGGCCUAAUCCGGGAGAAUUUGUUGAGCCGCAUGGUGCGAUAGGGAAAGACGCUUUUUCGUGCACUUAUGGAUGGAGCGGCGCCGGAUUAGCUAGUUGGUGAUGUAAGGGCGACCGAAGGCAACGAUGCUUAGCCGCCCUGAGAGGGGGAUCGGCCACACUGGAGCUGAGACGCGGUCCAGACGCCUACGGGAGGCAGCAGUAGGGAAUCUUACGCAAUGGGCGAAAGCCUGAUGGAGCAACGCCGCGGGAGUGAUGAAGGUCUUCGGCUCGUAAAACUCUUCUAUUAGGGAAGAACAAAGGUGUAAGUAACUAUGCACGUCUUGACGGUACCGAAUUAGAAAGCCCCGGCUAACUACGUG
rnacentral:rRNA from 1 species